rnacentral:rRNA from 1 species
CCUACGGGCGGCAGCAGUGGGGAAUAUUGGGCAAUGGGCGCAAGCCUGACCCAGCAACGCCGCGUGAAGGAAGAAGGCUUUCGGGUUGUAAACUUCUUUUGAGGGGGAAGAGCAUAAGACGGUACCCCUUGAAUAAGCCACGUCUAACUCCGUGCCAGCAGCCGCGGUAAUACGUAGGUGGCAAGCGUUGUCCGGAAUUACUGGGUGUAAAGGGCGUGCAGCCGGGACUGCAAGUCAGAUGUGAAAUCCGCGGGCUUAACCCGCGAACUGCAUUUGAAACUGCGUAUCUUGAGUAUCGGAGAGGUUAUCGGAAUUCUUUGUGUAGCGGUGAAAUCCGUAGAGAUAAAGAGGAAUACUCGUGGCGAAGGCGAAUAACUGGAAGGUAACUGACGGUGAGGCGCGAAAGCGUGGGGAGCAAACAGGAUUAGAUACCCGUGUAGUC